GAUGAACGCUGGCGGCGUGCCUAAUACAUGCAAGUCGAGCGAAUGGAUUAAGAGCUUGCUCUUAUGAAGUUAGCGGCGGACGGGUGAGUAACACGUGGGUAACCUGCCCAUAAGACUGGGAUAACUCCGGGAAACCGGGGCUAAUACCGGAUAACAUUUUGAACCGCAUGGUUCGAAAUUGAAAGGCGGCUUCGGCUGUCACUUAUGGAUGGACCCGCGUCGCAUUAGCUAGUUGGUGAGGUAACGGCUCACCAAGGCAACGAUGCGUAGCCGACCUGAGAGGGUGAUCGGCCACACUGGGACUGAGACACGGCCCAGACUCCUACGGGAGGCAGCUGUAGGGAAUCUUCCGCAAUGGACGAAAGUCUGACGGAGCAACGCCGCGUGAGUGAUGAAGGCUUUCGGGUCGUAAAACUCUGUUGUUAGGGAAGAACAAGUGCUAGUUGAGUAAGCUGGCACCUUGACGGUACCUAACCAGAAAGCCACGGCUAACUACGUGCCAGCCGCCGCUGUAA
rnacentral:rRNA from 1 species